AUUGAACGCUGGCGGCAUGCCUUACACAUGCAAGUCGAACGGCAGCGGACCUUCGGGUGCCGGCGAGUGGCGAACGGGUGAGUAAUAUAUCGGAACGUACCUUUCAGUGGGGGAUAACGUAGCGAAAGUUACGCUAAUACCGCGUAUUCUGUGAGCAGGAAAGCAGGGGAUCGCAAGACCUUGCGCUGAUUGAGCGGCCGAUAUCAGAUUAGCUAGUUGGUGAGGUAAAGGCUCACCAAGGCGACGAUCUGUAGCGGGUCUGAGAGGAUGAUCCGCCACACUGGAACUGAGACACGGUCCAGACUCCUACGGGAGGCAGCAGUGGGGAAUUUUGGACAAUGGGCGCAAGCCUGAUCCAGCCAUGCCGCGUGAGUGAAGAAGGCCUUCGGGUUGUAAAGCUCUUUCGGCCGGGAAGAAAUCGCACAGGUUAAUACCCUGUGUGGAUGACGGUACCGGAAUAAGAAGCACCGGCUAACUACGUG
rnacentral:rRNA from 1 species